GCUUUUACUGCAAGUGAUACUACAGAGCAUUUGAUUGGUCAGAAGAUCUGUUUGAAAAACUACUGAUUCAUAUUGGCUAUAACUGCUUAUGUUUUCUAAAUGUCUUUGUUUACAGAUUGCCUUAAUGCUGAUAUAUUGAUACUAAUAAACAAACGCAAUUAGUUAGGAUUAAGUCAGACUGCAGACUUUUUAUUGUAUGCUAUUUCUUCCUAAAAAAAUUUAAAAUAUUUAAAUAAAUAAAGGUCACGCUUUAUUUUGAUAGUCCGUUUGUUGAAUUGAAAUUACAUAGCGACAUACCAACUAAUUUUCAUUAGAUUAUAAGUAGACUGUUAGGUUAGGGUUGGGGUUUGGGUUAGGGUUAGUGUAAGUUGACAUGUACUGUACACUGUUAGACAUUUCUGUAAAUUACACAGUUAUUUACUGUAUUUCACCCAGUGUAAUACUGCAAAUUCCUUUUACGGUAAAUAACUGUAUUUACCGUUGCAUUAUGGGAAUUUAGUGUGACGUCGAACAACAUAUACAGCGAUGUACUGUAUUUGUAAAAAUUCGUGUAUUAUACUGUAUUUUCCACAACUGCUUCAACGCCACCUUGCGGCGAUUCGACUACUCUGCACCACAUUUUGCCUGAGGACCCUGGAGCAAUUCUGGAGUACAAUUUAUUAGUGUGCCUGAAGAACAUACUGGAUUUAACAAACUUUACUCUGGUAAGCUGAGGCAGUGUUUCAUUUUACAGAAUGUUUUGUGGACGAGAAUAGAACAAAGUAAAGUAUAAAGUUGGCUAUUAUUAUUUUCUCUGGCUUGGCGUUAUUUCGCCCAUUUGAGAAAUAUAUCAUCUAUUAAGAUGUUACCUUUAUUUAAUUUAUUACAUUAACACUACUAUUACUUUAAAUAAGACUGUUUAUGACUAUUAGCCAUUGUUCUCGUCAUAUCUUUUUAUUUAUUUACAUAGGAACCGGUGUUGCAGCGGGUUUUGGUUUAGGAGGGAACCAGAGGUAUGCAGACAGUUUUGGGGGACACUUAGCACGAGACAACGGUCCGGCAGAGAGUGUUUUCCCCCAGAAGAAUAUGAAUGAAAGACCAACAAAUAAUCCAGAUAUGGCACUGGCACAGCAGCAGGUUUUGUCUGAAGAAACAAACAGCAUUUCAGAGGAACAUCUUGAUCAGCACAGCCUUAUGCUUAAAAAAUAAGCAAGACCAGUAAGCAACCAAGAAUACUGGGAGCCUGCCUGUGCAAACUGGACCUCAUACAACAGUAAGUACUGUACAUCUAUUUGUUUCUCAAUAUAUUAACGUUACUUUUAAUACAAAAUGUGUCACAUGUUUAGUUGCUAGCUAAAUAAAAAAAUCGUUUUCCCUUUUUUAUUAAACCAUUUAGUAGGUUUUUUUUCAUCUUUGUUUAUAAUAUUUUUGAGCAGAUUGAGGUCUGUCAUGGGUCAGACAUUUCAAAAUACAAUAAUUAGUAUUGGGAUACAUGCAUUUGUCUAUGUAUUAAAUGUCUUUUUCCCCAUUUCAUGUUGCCUAAAUAUUUUGUAAUAAAUAAAAUAAUACAAUUUUUUGUAUAAAUAAUUCCAGAGGAUGAAACAAAAUGCACAGCAACAACCAGAGUGAGCCAGAAGAUAGCAGGAGAAGUACUGAAGAGAAUGACAACCAUGAACAACAGUGAGUUAUCCUUCUUUCACCAGCCAGCUAACUGAGAACUUGGAUUAGGUGAGACACUCUCAAUAGUUUUAUCAGUAUUCAGUCAGUUUUAGUUUAUUAGGAAUACAUAAAACAAAUAGUCUAAUCUGUCCUGCUGUGAAUCAACCCAUCACAAAUGCUACAAUGUUUUUGUAAAACCUUGUUAGGGGAAAAAUAAACAGGACAUUCUGGUUAGUUAUCUUUUAAACAUGGUAGUGAGCAGGUUAUGAGCAGGAGCCAGUUGCUCAGUACCAGCUGAAAACUACCCCAACCUAGCUGCCAUGCUUCAAAAUAAUUAACCAGUAUAUGAUUUAUUUUUUUAAACAAGCUUCUUCUAUGCUUAUGUUAGUCUGUUUGUCCUUAUCCAGAGUUCUUCAUAAUCCUGGACUGGGCCAAAUCCUGACCAGAUGCUGUGGUGGUCAUGGAGGAGUGAAUCCUAAAAGACACACGUGAUCAAUGAGUUUCCGCAUUGAUCCAAUGGGCCAGCCUGACCACCCACUGGUGAACUUUCAAGCCUCCGGUGCCUAGACUGCGGCCUUGCACAAGUUUGGCUAGAGGAGAACUGGUCGUGCCCAACUGAGCCUGGUAUCUCUCAAGGGAUUUUAUUCUACACUUUCGUCAGUUGGUGAAGUUUGUUCCAUGCCACUGUCGCCACUGGAUCACUUGGCUACGAUUGGUGGAUCGGUGGAUUUGCUCUUCAGUGUUUAGACUUUCAGCAGUGACAUUUACUGCUUCAAUUCUGAAAACUGGACUGAAGCAGCUUCAAUUUACAAGAACUUCUAUGUUAAGCUGCUUUGACAUCAUUGAUCUACAUUGUAAAAGUGCAAUAGAAAUAAAGAUGAAUUGCAUUUAAACAUGUGAAUUCAGACCUUGUUGAGCAUUUGACACCAGAACUAGUAAUAUUUUAAAGUUGGGUUGUUUCUGAGUCGGCUAAUAGUUACAAAUAUUUAUUUUUCCAACAAUAUGCAAUUCAGAAGUUUAAAUUUUUAUUGUACAUGUAUGUUCUAGUGCUUUGUGUGAUUUAUUUAUUUUUAAUGUGUUGAUUUUAUUGCUUAAUGUAAUUUUCACACAUUUUCCUUAAAUGCUUUAAGCAUUAUUAAUGUUUUAAAGAAUGGAAUAUUUUGUAAUUGUGUCUGGUUUAAUGUCAGUAGUACUUAGUACAAUUGGGGUUUUUUUUCUCAACAAUAUGCAGGUCAGACACUUAAGUUAGUUUUGUACAUGUAUGUUAAUGUGCUUUGUCAUUUUCAAUGUUUUUUUUUCUUAAAAUAAAAUAUUUUGAAUGAUUGAAAUGUAAUGUUUUUACACAUUUUUAAGCUUGUUUUAAGCAUCUCCAAUGUUUUAAAUAAAGAGUGUUUAUUUU
rnacentral:lncRNA from 1 species